rnacentral:rRNA from 1 species
CAGAGAGAGACAUGCGCGCAUAUCAAUAAGCGGAGGAAAAGAAACUAACAAGGAUUCCCUUAGUAACGGCGAGUGAAGCGGGAAGAGCUCAAAUUUGAAGUCUUCAAGGUUCUACCUUGACGAAUUGUAGUUUAUAGAAGUGUUUUCUGUUAGUGGAGUGGCAAAAGUUCUUUGGAAUAGGACAUCAUAGAGGGUGAGAAUCCCGUAUUUGGUCAUUCCUCCUAGCGUUGUGAUACACUUUCAACGAGUCGGAUUGUUUGGGAAUGCAGUCCAAAAUGGGUGGUAAAUUUCAUCUAAAGCUAAAUAUUGGCGAGAGACCGAUAGCGAACAAGUACCGUGAGGGAAAGAUGAAAAGAACUUUGAAAAGAGAGUUAAACAGUACGUGAAAUUGUCAAAAGGGAAGCGUUUGACACCAGUGUUGUUUUUCCGAAAAUCAAUUACGAAUGUUUUGUUUUUGAGGAGUUAUGACUUCAUCGGCUUGCUCCUUUCUUUACGAAACUUUCUUAAUGCACUUUUCGGUUAACAAGUCAACAUCAAUUUCUUUUGUUGUAAAAGGGUACGAGGAAGGUGGCUUUCUUUUCGGAGAAAGUGUUUAUAGCCUUGUGCCUCUGCAAUCGGAGAGAUUGAGGUCUGCAGCAUAGAUCCUUCGGGGUUAGAUGCAUUUGUGCUAAGUUAUAGCCUUUCAUAGACAACUUGUUGACUAUGAUUAGUCAUUGUAGCUUAUUCGCUUAUGCUAUUUUACCUACGCUUAGGAUGUUGAUCUGUAGUGCGUGCGC